rnacentral:ncRNA from 1 species
GGGAAGUCGGCCAAACGGAUCCGUAACCUUGGGAUAAGGAUUGUGCUCUGAGGAGUGAGCCGGUCGGGCUGGGGACCUGAAGCAGGAACGGCACUGCACCGGGACUGGGCGGGGCUCGCCGUUCACGCGGCGCGUCCAAGCCCGGACCAGCGUCGGGACCUUCCUGUGGAAAGCCUCAGCUGCGGGGCGUCCGAGGGCUUCGUGCCCAAAGUGCUAUGCUUCGGCCGGCAAAAAACAGUCAACUCAGAACUGGCACGGACCGGGGGAAUCCGACUGUCUAAUUAAAACAAAGCAUUGCGAUGGCCGCUGGUCGGUGUUGACGCAAUGUGAUUUCUGCUCAGUGCUCAGAAUGUCAUCGUGAAGAGAUUCAUCAAAGCGCGGGUAAACGUCGGGAGUAACUAUUUUUGGGACGUAAGCCUGCGGGGUGUAAUGCCAUGCUCGAAGUCAACCUCCACGUGCUCGUCGUACGUCCAGCCAAUCGGGGAGCUCGUUCUCCCAAUUGCAACGAGGGCUCUGGCGACCUUUCGGGGAGAACUGGGUUGCCUGUCCGUCUCCCUUAAAUCCACUUUGCGCGAAAAAUGAAAAGAAACAAUGUAUAAGCGGUAGCCGAGAGGCUGCUGCUCCAAGUGCAGUUGGAAGGAGUGGUGGCCGGUCGGGGUGUACUGGUGCACCAGGGGGCACUCCAGAGGCCUCAGAAGUUCAUUCAUGCUCCUGCGGGAGAUCAUUCGAAACACAUCGGGGACUCAAAGUCCAUGCAUCAAGGAUGCAACAUGAGGUGGUUGGGGCACAGCCAGGUUCAUGAACGUGGCACUGGCUGCCAUACACAAGUCACGAACACAUAACUC